GAUGAACGCUAGCUACAGGCUUAACACAUGCAAGUCGAGGGGCAGCAUGAACAAAGCUUGCUUUGCUUGAUGGCGACCGGCGCACGGGUGAGUAACGCGUAUCCGACCUGCCCAUGACUCGAGCACAGCCGCUCGAAAGAGCGAUUGAUUCCCGAUAUGUCUUUGGAGUAUAUUCUUAGAUGAAAGAUUUAUCGGUCAUGGAUGGGGAUGCGUAGGAUUAGGUAGUAGGCGGGGUAACGGCCCACCUAGCCGACGAUCCUUAGGGGUUCUGAGAGGAAGGUCCCCCACACUGGUACUGAGACACGGACCAG
rnacentral:rRNA from 1 species